rnacentral:lncRNA from 1 species
GCCCAUUCCAAUGAUCAGAACUUGAAUUUCUAGGAGUGUGGGCUGAAGUGCCCUGGGGGUUCUAGGUAAACUUGAAAGGCAGUUUAGAACACAAAGACUGCAAUUGCUAGGCAACUCCUAGUGCUAGCCCAGGCUUAGAGCCAGUGGACUUGGGUGGCAUGUAACCUAGGGAGACAUCAGCUGACGUGGCUAAGGGAGAACUUGUGCUCACGCAACAAAAGUGACUCCUUUCUUCUGCUUAAGGAUAGGAAAGUGAAGAAUUAAGAGGACGAUGUCUUGCAUCUUGGAUAUCAGCUCAGCCACUGUAGGAUAGGCCACCGGGCAGAGUCCUGAGGCCCUCAUUCCAGGCCCUACUUUCCAGAUGACAUUUUGAGACACACACUGGUGCAAAAGAACCUGCUGC